rnacentral:rRNA from 1 species
AUGCCUACGGGAGGCAGCAGUGGGGGAUAUUGGACAAUGGGGGGAACCCUGAUCCAGCGACGCCGCGUGAGUGAAGAAGUAUUUCGGUAUGUAAACUUCUAUCAGCAGGGAAGAAAAUGACGAUACUUGACUAAGAAGCUCCGGCUAAAUACGUGCCAGCAGCCGCGGUAAUACGUAUGGAGCAAGCGUUAUCCGGAUUUACUGGGUGUAAAGGGAGCGCAGGCGGCAUGGCAAGUCAGAUGUGAAAGCCCGGGGCUCAACCCCGGGACUGCAUUUGAAACUGUCAGGCUGGAGUGCAGGAGAGG